CAGUCGCCACGGUAAUACGAAGGAUGCAAGCGUUAAUCGGAAUUACUGGGCGUAAAGCGUGCGUAGGCGGUGAGUUAAGUCUGCUGUGAAAUCCCCGGGCUCAACCUGGGAAUGGCAGUGGAUACUGGCUCGCUAGAGUGUGUCAGAGGAUGGUGGAAUUCCCGGUGCAGCGGUGAAAUGCGUAGAGAUCGGGAGGAGCAUCAGUGGCGAAGGCGGCCAUCUGGGACAACACUGACGCUGAGGCACGAAAGCGUGGGGAGCAAACAGGAUUAGAUACCCGCGUAGUCCCUGUCUCUUAUAC
rnacentral:rRNA from 1 species